CAAACGUGUUUAACCAGCCAACGUGUUUAACCAACGUGUUUAACCAACAUGUUUAACCAACGUGUUUAACCAACAUGUUUAACCAACGUGUUUAACCAACAUGUUUAACCAACGUGUUUAACCACCAACCAACCAACCAACCAACCAACCAACCAAUCAAUCAAUCAAUGCAUGUUUCCGUUUCAUGUGUUAAAUACGGGAUCCAAGAUGUUUUUUUUUCGCUUGUUUAAAUUGAGCCUAUCAAACGUGUUUAACCAGCCAACGUGUUUAACCAACGUGUUUAACCAACAUGUUUAACCAACGUGUUUAACCAACCAACCAACCAACCAACCAAUCAAUCACUUAAUGUAUGUUUCCGUGUCAUGCGUUUAAUACGGGAUGCAAGGUCUCUUGAGGUCUUUUUCCCCUUGUUCUAAGUGACCCUAUCAAACGUGUUUAAUCAACCAACCAACCAACCAACCAACCAAUCAAUCAAUCAACCAACUAAUCAAUCAAUCAAUAUGUAUGACUGUUUAUUUAUGACAGUUUAUUGAAGGAACAAACUCUCAAUUAUUCAAGAAAAUUUUUAUUUUAUUAUUGUUCUUACGUCUCUUCUGAAAAAAAAUCCACAUAUUCUCUGAAACUACAAGUCCAAUCGACCUGAAAAUUUGCAGUCAGCAGGGCAUACAUGUACUGAAGGUUCAUAAAAAAACUUUUGCAGAUAUCUCUCAAGACUUUUCCUAGAAAAAAGAAAUGGCAAUGCAGUAAAAAUCGCUUGCUAGGUCCGUCAAUCUCAGUAAAAACCUACAAUAAAAUGUCCGCUCCGAGAUUGAAAUACUAAUCUGUGUUACAAACAGGUGCUGAAAAAUGGACAUUAUCAAAAAAUAAUCAUUAAAUGUGUUUUAAAGUUACACCGGAUCAAUUAAAUCCAAAACAUGCACUGCUGGUGAACUGUGAUCAAAAUGUCAAUUUCCUACAAUGACAAAAGAAAUUACAUUGUGUACAUUCCAUCUCUAUACAUGUUGUCUGUUCAACGUCCCGACCUAAAGAGAAAUAAAAAGACUAAGUUUUUCUUAAUAUAAACCCGCGUCACGUGAUGUCUCCUCAAUCUUGCGCGCGCGCUGUAUCUAAAAUAAAAGAAAAACUUUCCAAACUAAACAUGACACUUCUCCGGUAACAUAAUAAUAUAGACCCCAUACCAAAGCAAACAAACAAACAAAAAAACAAAUACCCCCCCCCCCUUUUUUUCCAAAUCAAUCAAUAAAAAAAAUCAAUUAUCCAUUCAUCAUAGGGGAAAGACUGCCUAACAAUUGUUUUUGAAACAAUUGCUUUAUAUUUAUAUUAUUAAGUCUUUUACUUUUUUAUUAUUGUAUUUUUCUAUUAUUAAGUCUUUCCACUUUUCUGUGGAAAGACUUAUUGUUUUUGUUCUGAUUAUUAUUAUUAUUAUUAUUAUUUUUUUUUUUCCGCCAAAUUUUGUUCUUGCGAUAAAUGUUUGUUUCGCAAUAUGUCGCUUAGAUAUUUCUCAUAUUGUAUCGUAUAGUUUAUGCGCUUUUAAAUUUCACCCUGCUAAGACGAACAAUUUUCUCUGUAAGAGUUAUCUCCCUAUUCACUGUUUAUCAUGUGUGUGCAUCUCCUUCGUAACAAAAAAAGAUAGCGACAA
rnacentral:lncRNA from 1 species